ACAGGGACGUAACGGUCCCCUUACUUCGGUACAUCCAAGACAGGUGGUGCAUGGUUGUCGUCAGCUCGUGUCGUGAGAUGUUGGGUUAAGUCCCGCAACGAGCGCAACCCUUAUCUUCAGUAGCCAGCAGGUAAAGCCGGGCACUCUGGAGAGACUGCCGGGGAUAACCCGGAGGAAGGUGGGGAUGACGUCAAAUCAUCAUGCCCCUUAUGAUUUGGGCUACACACGUGCUACAAUGGCGUAAACAGAGGGAAGCGAGCCCGCGAGGGGGAGCAAAUCCCAAAAAUAACGUCCCAGUUCGGAUUGUAGUCUGCAACCCGACUACAUGAAGCUGGAAUCGCUAGUAAUCGCGGAUCAGAAUGCCGCGGUGAAUACGUUCCCGGGUCUUGUACACACCGCCCGUCACACCAUGGGAGUCGGAAAUGCCCGAAGUCUGUGACCUAACCGUAAGGGAGGAGCAGCCGAAGGCAGGUCGGAUGACUGGGGUGAAGUCGUAACAAGGUAGCCGUAUCGGAAG
rnacentral:rRNA from 1 species